AUGGCCUUCUUGAACAUGUCCCAACAUGUCAACGGCCCCACCCACAUGGGUGGCCACACACUUGACCUGGUUUUUUCCACUAAUGGGAGCGAGAGUGGUCCGAUGGUGACUGACCUUGAGUUGGUACCAUUGUCAUGGUCGAACUACCACCUAAUAAAAUGCACCCUUGAAAUGGCUCUCCCCGCUCGCAGGGAGCAGGGAUCUAUUGUUAUGGUCCACCCUCGAAGGCUACUGGAUCCAGCUGGUUUCCAGGAUGCCAUGAAAGGUGUUACGACUGACCUGGCUGGCGCUCCUGUCAAGGCUCUGGUUGACGGCUGGUUCGCCGCCGCAGCUAGGGCUGUAGACACGAUCCCACCUAAACGCCCUCUCCAACGCAGAGCCCACUCGGCGCCCUGGUUUAACCAGGAUCUCCAGGUGUUGAAGCAGUUUAGGAGACGGCUAGAGCGCAAGUGGAGAAAGGACCCGAUGGAUUAUAAUUGGAUAGCUGUCAAGGUCACCACUAACCUUUACCUGGCUAAGGUAAAGGCUGCUAGUCGAGCAUACUUCGCUAACCGGAUAAGCGAAGCGGCCAACCAGCAGGUGGAAUUAUUCCGUAUAGUGCGCGACCUAUCCGGAAUUGGUCUGAGUGAUAGGCCUCCCCCUAGUUUUUCACCGGACCAAUUUGCAGCAUUUUUUAUCAGGGGCUUGGGAGACUCCCUCUCAUUUGGGGUGGUCACCCUUGUCGCAAAUAGUGGGGUCCGUAGCCUGGGGAUCCAUCUGGACCCGGCGCUCACCAUGGAAACACAGGUGGCGUCGGUGGUCCGCUCCGCCUUUUUGCAUCUUUGGCUGAUAGCCCGGCUGCGACCUUAUCUCGACACGGGGGCACUCACUACCUUGGUGCAUGCGCUUGUAAUCUCCAGAUUAGACCACUGUAACGUGCUCUACGUGGGGCUACCUUUGAGGUUGACGCGGAAACUCCAAGUGGUGCAGAACGCAGCAGCCAGACUCCUUAGUGGAGCGAGAAAAUUCCAUCAUAUUUCUCCUAUUCUGGACGCGUUGCAUUGGCUGCCCACUCGGUUCUGCGCUGACUUCAAAGUUCUGAUGCUUACAUAUAAAGCCCUCAACGGUUUAGGGCCUCGAUACCUGGCGGAAUGCCUACUCCCACCAAGUUCUACCCGUGUCACUCGUGCGAGCCAGGAGGUGAGGCUGAGGAGCCUGACACCGAGGAAGGCCUGGAAGGAAAAAAACAAAACACCGGGCCUUCUUGGCGGUGGCUCCUCGCCUCUGGAACAACUUGCCUCCUGA
rnacentral:lncRNA from 1 species